AUUGUUUAUAUUGUAUUAUAACAAUAAUAUAUAAUACAAAAUUAUAUCACUAGUAAGUAUGAUAAAUAAUAUUUCAGUAAAUUAGAAAAAGUAUGGAGAUGAAGUGUUUUUCUUUUUGUUUGUUGUUAUGAGACAGAUGGCUGAGUCCAGCCAUCUCAAGACAUGUGCUGCCAGGUUCGAAACUAAAUUCAUAUUUACAGGCUCCAAAACCCACUCCAAUUCUGAUUCUUCAGGUGAUUCAUGUAUGACUUUUAAUCAGGAAAUAGUGUAAAGAUGAAAGUGGCUGAUAAUCUAAACUAAGCACACAAUUCAUAAAUUUGUUGCCUGUCAUGACUUAUAUUGACUAUGAGCAGCUUUCCCCCUCUUUUGAUCCUGUAUAAUUCUGAAUUUGGUGCCAGACGUCCAGGAGGAGGUCUGAAUGCAAAAGCUGAGUUGAGAACCCUGAACCCAGGUGUCCUGCAUAAGGCUGAGUCACUAGUGUUUACUUUCUUGGUCAAAACCCCAUGUCCCUCCUCUAAUCCACUGAUAAGGGAUGUCUUCCUCCUCUAUCUUACUGUAGCUUAUCAGGUCUCAUCAAAACUGUCUGGAUCUACUUUCCCUGUUGCUUAGUUUAGCCACCUUGACUAGUGGAAGUGAUCAAAGAGCUAUCAAACUGGUCAAAGUCUGACUGCCCCUGCUCCCUUUCCUAGGAGAAAUCAAAUGUUCAAACCACUCUCACAACAGCAAUCCAAAACAAACAAGCUGUUUUUGGAUGAACUACAAUUUUGUCUCAGACUCUGGUCCUCUCCAAAGUCACUGUGGACCAUGAUGAAAUCGUACAGAUUGUUGAAGAAAGAACCAAACAUGUUUUUCACCCACAUGGAGGAACCAGGUGUAGAGCCCCAGGGCUAUGGGAUUCCAAGAGUACAUGGAUGAGAGGAAAACAGAACAAUAAAAAGACAGCAAAUUCAGAGCAAGUCUGGCUACAGCAACAGAAAUAUCUCAGUACUGUGACCCUCAGAUGUCUGGACUUUGCUGCAGUGUGUGUGCUGGCCUCUCAUGAGAACCAUUGUGUAUGCACAGACUGAGAGCCUGAAGCAACAGUAGGAAGCAGCUGUAGCAUUCAAAGUCUUCUCUGAUAUUGUUGAGCCUCCUCCUACAACCUGUGUAUGCAUCGAUGGAGUUUCCUCUGUUCACUUGUGGUUAUAAAGGAGAGACCAACACCUACAUGGAGGCAGAUGUUAACCUCGCUACAUUUAUUCCCAUUUCCAUCCCACUUGAUCUAUCACAAUACCUCCAUAUCCUUUUUGACAGAAAACCAACUCUACUAUGGAAGUUCGACCUAGUGACUUGGAGAAACUAUCAAUAUUUGCUGACCUUAUACUUUGCCAUUGAAGAGAUAAAUAAGGACUCAAACCUGCUUCCCAAUAUGACCUUGGGUUCCCACAUCUACAAUGCUUUUAAUUCUAACAAAAUAACCUUGGAGGACCCUCUGAUAUGGCUGUCUGGAAGGAGUCACAUAUGGACCAUUUGAUUCCAUGCUUAGUGACAAAGAUACAUUUGCAUUCCUUUAUCAGAUGUCUACUGAAGACAGAGGUCUAGCCCAAGGGCUGAUCUCUUUAUUGCUCCACUUUGGCUGGAAGUGGGUGGGGAUCAUUGUGUCUGAUGAUCAGAGAGGAAGGGAGUUUCUCUCUGACCUGAAAGUAAAGAUGGUAACAGAAGAUAUCUG